UGUCGGUGUCGUACUUGUCGUAUCGCCGGCUUCAAAAUCUCUGGAAAAAAAAUCAGCACUUGGUUCUUGCCUUAGCGAGGGCUUUUUCCUCGUCAUUCUCUUCGUUUUGUGGUUUUUAUCAACCCCUUGUGCUUGGAAAGAGUGUUUACACGCGUGGGGAUAGCCCUUGGACAGAGGGGUCGUCGUUUGCCCCGGGGGUUGAGGAGAGGAUUAAUCAUGGAUUAGACUGUCUUCAAUGGAUUCUUCGGUUAUUGUUCGAGGGGGAACGAUGAUUGUCUAUCCAGUGAUUGGGGAAGGCUUUUCCUCACGCAAUUUAAUCGGCAAAUUUGGUGGUGGAAAAUGUUUGUGUACAUCGCGUGGUCUGCAGUAAUCUGUAAACAAUGAUGGGAUAUCCGUGUCGGCAGGCGAAAUAAAUAGACCCGGAGAAAAUAGCCAACACAUCCAAAAAAUGGGUUGAAACGAUUGCAAGUCUCACCAAGCGUUUUCCCCAGUAGAGCUAUAAACCACUGGCUCUUUGCGAUCGUAAAAAUGUAAUGGUUCUGGCAGGACAUGGAUAUAAAAAUGAUAUUCGUGGGUUUGAGGUAUCAAUAGAGGACUUCAGGGUUUUUCCUCUGUUUUUUGAUGAUUAUUUUUUUCCCGUCCCUCCCAACUAACUUCAAAUACCACUUUUCACAAUGAUCCCGAUCACCAUUUAUAGGUUCAUAAAGUGGCGAGAACUUUAUCCUUUGUUCGUAAUAAUAAAAAAUUCUGAGAAUUCGGAUAUUCACCUCAAUGUCAACUAUUUUUACUUUACUCCAGACUAUUUUUUGAUGUUAAUCCCCGAGGAUUAUUCACACUCUAGCUAUUUCAACUAGAAUGUUAAACUCUAUUUUGAUCUAUUGCUAUUCCCUCCAUUCCCUUCCAUCAACCAUA